ensembl:lncRNA
AUGAGAGUGACUGUGUUCCAAUAAAACUUUAUUUACAAAAACAGGCAGCAGGCCAGAUUUAGCCCAUGGAAGGGAUUUGCUGACUCUUGCUCUGUAGACUAUUAACUAAGACCUACUUGAGUCAGAGUUGCUAGUUCUCUGCUAAUGCCGGAAUGUUUUUUCCACACUCUCAUCUUUGUGUAAUGCUUCACACUAUAGGAUCUAUCACGCUUUCACCAAGAUUGUUUGACAACACACUUUCCCAAGGGUAAGUGCUGCAAAAGGAGGAAGCUUUUGUUAGAGUAACAGCUGAUGCUUUGUUAAGGGGAGUUUUUAGGCAGCACGACUUGAAAGGCAUAUGUGCAACCCUGGCUACAUUGGAAGCAAAUUUCCAGGGGAAUUGUCAGAGCAUAAAAUUAGGUCUAGUUGAGAAAGAAUGCAAGCCCCAAGGUAUGGCUAAACUGAGACAGCAGGAUGAAGAAAAUUAACAGUGGGAUAACUUAUGAGCUCCAAAAGUAUAAUAUUUUUCAUAGGAAUUAGUGCCUCUUGAGAAUGAUAUUUUAUGCAGUUUAUUCAAUCUUUAUUGCUUGAGUAGAUUAGAAACUCAUCCUGUACAACUGAAUGAAAUGACUCCAAUUACACCAAUAUUUUCUAUUAUUAUGCCUCUCAAAUCCUGCCAAGUCACACCUGCACAGGCCUGACUCUGAACAGAAUGCCAUUGUGAGCGUACUUUCUAGAAAGGAAACUUUAAUCCAUUCCUAGUCAAGAGGAAAUUCUAGCUUCCUGCCAAGACAAUUGUGCAUUCUGGCCUCAGUGUAAGCCAAGUUGAUAAGUUCCUAUGUUACAAGAUUUGAGCAAUAUAGACUCAUCCAUUGAAAAAUGUCCUCCUCUAAAAUUUACUAAAAUGCUUGGGAUUUCUAAAGUUAUAAUCAAUCUUCAGAGCACCAUAUCUCAAAUACGCAAAACAAAGGCACAGAAUGAAAAGAAAGUAAGAAAAGAUGCUUCAGGAAAAUUUUUCUAGUUUUAGCAGAGAAAGAAUGAGAAUAAUAAUAUGACUAUGAAUUAGGUAUGUCAGUUAUAAGAAAGAUGCCAAGAUGUUUUUUUGAAAGUGGGAAGACUUCCAAUUUCAUGAUGAAUUCUAAUAUUUAAAGUCUUCAAUGUUACUAUUUUUAUGGUAUCAUCUUUCGGAUCUCAAUAAUUCACAGUUUUGAAAUAGAAAUCAUUCUUAAUGUGAAGUGAAGGUUGUAUUUGGAACCGAUAUGGAGAACAAUGAAUAGUAAAGGAGGUAGAGAGAAUUAAAUACCAUGGAAAUAAGGCAGAGCUCACUUUUUUACGUUGCAACUUAAAAUUGCACAAAAGGUAAUGUCUUUAUUUCUCUACAACUGGGGAUGGUGGGGGAAAGGCCACUAGAACUCUUAUUUUUUGCUGCUGGUAGAAAAAAAAAUAAACCUAUUCCUAAAGGUCUUCAGUCAAUUUCAAGUCAAUUUAAUUGUGAAAUUUCUUAUCAGAGCUGUUUGUUUCUCAUCUCCAGAAAACGUCUCCCCUCAUCUUCAGUUGCAAUUUGGCAUCAUAAUGUGUAGGAAGAGGGUUCCAUGGUACAAACAUGUGCUCUGCUCAAUCCUGCUGAUAUCUGGUUUACCUCUGGUCUCUGGGUCUUGGCAUCUGUCUAUUCAUUCCCCCAUUGAAGUGACUGUGGCUAUUGUUACUUGAUGUCUGUAUGGUCUCUAUAAUUAGAGACAGCCUCUCUGCCCCGCCCAACUACUGAUAGGAGCCCACCUUGAUUCUUGUUAGGACAGAGCCUCUGAUUCCUAACCAAGUCCUGACUUAGGCCUUAACUCACUGCCUCAAUGUGGGAGUUUUAUCUCCAGGCCUGGGCAAGUUGUCAUUUCUGUUCUGAUGCAGCUGCCCCACGUACCUGAGAGCUGGUCUUCCCCCUGAGGAAACAAGUGUGAAGUAGGUCACAGGUUCCUUUCCUUUACCUCCCCCGUUCUUCAAUAUUCUUUUAUAUUCUUAAAGGUCUCCUUGAUUUAGGUCUUAGAGCAAAGUCCCUAGGGAUGGGGAUGUUAGAUCCUUGAGGGACACUGGCAUAGUCCUAAUCCUCACGUCCUCUCUGAAAUCUCUCUUCCUCUUCCUACUGAUGGGAUUUCUACUGUCCUGCUUGCCUGGUAGGGGCUGUCCUCUGUCCUCUUUCUGCACUUCACAGUAGGCUGUUACUCUUUUUUUUUUUUUUUUUUGAGGAAGAUUAGUCCUGAGCUAACUGCUGCCAAUCUUCCUCUUUUUGCUGAGGAAGACUGGCCCUGAGCUCACAGCCAUGCCCAUCUUCCUCUACUUUAUAUAGGGGACGCCUACUGCAGCAUGGCUUGCCAAGCGGUGCCGUGUCCACACCCAGGAUCCGAACCGGCUAACCCUGGGCCGCUGAGAAGCCGGAGGUGCGAACUUAACCGCUGUGCCACCGGGCCGGCCCCGUAGGUUGUUACUCUUGAGAUUACCUUUUUCUAAGAAUCUGGAUGCUUGAAAUAUUUUUUUCUAUCAGCCAAUAAUCAUGAAAUAUUUGGAUGUGAGUCUUUCUCUCAUUAAUUUCUUAAUACACGAUGGGCCUUUGCCAUCUAUACACUGCGUAUUUUUCUCUCAGAUGUUUUCUCUCAGAGCUUUUUACACCAGUUAUUGGCUCACUGGGUGUCUAGAGGUCCUUCUGAUAUCUCUAAUUCUCACUUUUAAUAGCAAGUUUCUGGGAGCUUCUACUCCAGGAUGGUAGAUACCUGCUUGUAGCUUCCUGUUUGCACAGGAAACUCCACCUCCAAGCUUUCAAGCAUAUGUUUCUCAACAGGACAGUGGCAGGUACCUGGAGGGGGUGGGAAACUGAGGCAGGGUCCAGUGGAAAUCUCAAACCCUGGGUCCUCUGUGAAUUACUGUGUGACCUUCCUUCACUCAGGAGGUAACGGCAGACAGUGGUGGCAGAGACAAUCUUGGCUCCGUGUGGGAGUAGGCAGGGCAUGAAGACCGGGAAUCAGAGCUAGUUUCCCAGAUAGGGGCGGAUCCAGGAGCAGGGAAAGAUCCAAAGUGUCCCGUUCAAGGGAAUCAGUGGAGGCCAAGCAUGAGAUUCAAAGAAAAAGUUUUGCAUAGAGAAUAGACAAAACGAAAUGAUCACGUUAGAAAGGCAGAGUGAACCCAGAGCCUGCAUUAAAAGUACACCUGGCCAAUAGAACCUUUUAUGAGGAUGGGAACGUGCUAUAUCUGUGCUGAUCAAUAUGGUAGCCACUAGAUGCCAUGGCAAUUGAGUCCUGAGGAACUUGAUUUUUAAUUUAAUUUAAUUUUAAUAACUUUAAGUUUAAACAUCCACAUGCAACUAGUGGCUACAGCACUGGACAAUGCGGCUCUAGAGUAGCUUUUUCUGACUAGGAAGGAAGCCGUGGAAGCUGCAGGGUCAACUCCAACACUAUCAGCUUCCUAGAUAGUAAAAAUUCUUCCCAUAGUUGGCAACGGACUGACUGUCAGCCUCAUUAUUUGAUAUUGGGAAGUUUUAUCAUUUUCUGUGUCUUCAUAGGUAUUUUGGUGGAAAUUUGAGAAUUGCUGUGAGAAGAAAUGUUAAAUACCGUUUUAGAGUACAAGUCUACCACAGUCUUCUCCCUUUUUUCCGUUCUUCUUGACUACCUACCUGCCUGCAUGCCUGCUAUAAGUUUGUAAACAACGAUUCUCAAGCUCCAUUAAUUAUUUGGCAAAUAAUGAGUGAGUACAGCUGCUCACGGAUGAGAAGAAAUGCUGCUACUGCAGUCCAUUGCUCAAAACUGCUGCUGGAUCACGUCUCUGGGGAAGGUCAAAGCUUCCCUUGGUUGUUGAUUAAUUGAGGAAAGGCUGAUUCAGCAAGGGCCUAAUUACCAGAAUGGGAAGGAAAGAUCUGCUCACAGUGGUAAAAAUAACGUACUGUGUGAUGUAGAGUCAGUAACAAAGUACGCCGAUGUCACCAAGCAGUGGACACAGUCUUUUCCUGUGUGUGAGUUCUGAUAGAAGGUUGACUGCUCUCUUAAACAUUGUCUCGCCCACUCACCUACCCACUUAUUUAUUUGUGUGUUGGGAUAUGAAUGGGGAACCAUUUUCAACUCACACAUUAGGGACAGUGUUUCAGCUACUACUGCUGUAAAAAACGCUACAAAACUUAGUAGUGUAAUCCUUAUGCUCCUGGAUUCUGUAGGUUAGUAACUGGGACAGUGGGAAUAGCUUUUCUCUGCUCCACGUUUCCUGAGGUUGAAGCUUGGAAAACUCAAAGCUUCGCAUGGCUCAAUAGCUGGAGGC